rnacentral:sRNA from 1 species
AUAUCUCUCUGUACGGGAAGGAUGAGAAGCUUCGACUAAGGUUCGAUUCGAGCGAAAGCGAGAAAGCGUUGCCG